UACGUAGGGUGCAAGCGUUAAUCGGAAUUACUGGGCGUAAAGCGUGCGCAGGCGGCUAUGCAAGACAGAUGUGAAAUCCCCGGGCUCAACCUGGGAACUGCAUUUGUGACUGCAUAGCUAGAGUACGGUAGAGGGGGAUGGAAUUCCGCGUGUAGCAGUGAAAUGCGUAGAUAUGCGGAGGAACACCGAUGGCGAAGGCAAUCCCCCUGGACCUGUACUGACGCUCAUGCACGAAAGCGUGGGGAGCAAACAGG
rnacentral:rRNA from 1 species